rnacentral:rRNA from 1 species
UACGUAGGGGGCUAGCGUUGUCCGGAAUUAUUGGGCGUAAAGAGCGUGUAGGCGGUCCGGUAAGUCCGCUGUAAAAGUCAAAGGCUCAACCUUUGAAUGUCAGUGGAUACUGCCGGGCUAGAGUCCGGAAGAGGCGAGUGGAACUCCUGGUGUAGCGGUGGAAUGCGCAGAUAUCAGGAAGAACACCCGUGGCGAAGGCGGCUCUCUGGGACGGUACUGACGCUGAGACGCGAAAGCGUGGGGAGCGAACAGG